CCCUUAGAUGUUCUGGGCCGCACGCGCGCUACACUGAUGAAUUCAACGAGUCUAAAACCUGCUCUGAUAGGGGUGGGUAAUCUUUUGAAUGUGCAUCGUGAUUGGGAUAGAUGAUUGCAAUUUUUCAUCUUCAACGAGGAAUGCCUAGUAAACGCAAGUCAUCAGCUUGCAUUGAUUACGUCCCUGCCCUUUGUACACACCGCCCGUCGCUCCUACCGAUUGAAUGAUCCGAUGAAUAUCAUGGAUUGAGGAUGCAAGUAGGUUCGCCUAUCUUCAUCUUCGAGAAGUGAAGUAAAUCUUAUCAUUUAGAGGAAGGAGAAGUCGUAACA
rnacentral:rRNA from 1 species